rnacentral:misc_RNA from 1 species
AACCCAGGACAUCUGGUG